AUGGGUGCUCUCCCAAGAUCUAUUGAAGCUCCAGCCUCUACAUCUGGAGUUAAUAAUGUUGAAACUCGUCAGGUCAUUAAGAUUAGAAGUGGAAAGAAAUGUGAAGGAUCCACACCAAGAAACAAAGAGUCAAGUGAAGAAUUAAAAGCUCAUAAUAAAGUCGUGCUUGAAGUCGACAGAGUCCAAAAAUGUGUUCAAGAGAGACCUUCACCUCCUUUUCUCCAAAGGAUUAUGAUAGCCAAAGAAGAGCAGUAA